rnacentral:lncRNA from 1 species
AACUUUGGGGCAUUACAAUACUAUAAGAUUAAGGUUGACCAUGUCUAUUAUGUGACUUUACCCCGUUGACCUUCUUUUCUUUAGUGGUUGUAAGCUAGUACUACUUGUGAGAAUGUAUGUGAUAGAUUUUGAGGUGUAGUAGUAAUGUCAUAGAGGUUAUUUGGUUGUAGGUAGUACCUAAGUAAAAUGAGGCAAUUGGGUUGAAUUUUCUAAUUUGAUGGACUAGUAUCAUAUGUUGAAUG